GACGAACGCUGGCGGCGUGCUUAACACAUGCAAGUCGAACGGAAAGGCCCCUUUGGGGGUACUCGAGUGGCGAACGGGUGAGUAACACGUGAGUAACCUGCCCUUGACUUCGGGAUAACUUCAGGAAACUGGGGCUAAUACCGGAUAGGAAUCCUUGCUGCAUGGUGGGGGUUGGAAAGCUUCGGCGGUUUUGGAUGGACUCGCGGCUUAUCAGCUUGUUGGUGGGGUAGUGGCUUACCAAGGCUUUGACGGGUAGCCGGCCCGAGAGGGCGACCGGCCACAUUGGGACUGAGAUACGGCCCAGACUCCUACGGGAGGCAGCAGUGGGGAAUAUUGCACAAUGGGCGGAAGCCUGAUGCAGCAACGCCGCGUGCGGGAUGACGGCCUUCGGGUUGUAAACCGAUUUCAGCAGGGGCGAAGCUUGUGGUGACGGUACCUGCAGAAGAAGCACCGGCUAACUACGUG
rnacentral:rRNA from 1 species